GACGAACGCUGGAGGCGUGCUUAACACAUGCAAGUCGAACGAUGAAAUGGAGCUUGCUCCAUGGAUUAGUGGCGAACGGGUGAGUAACACGUGAAUAACCUGCCCUUAAUUUUGGAAUAACCCAGGGAAACCUGGGCUAAUACCGGAUAAGUAAACCUGUGGCAUCACAUGGUUUUGGAAAGUUUUUCGAUUAAGGAUGGAUUCGCGGCCUAUCAGCUUGUUGGUGAGGUAAUGGCUCACCAAGGCGACGACGGGUAGCCGGCCUGAGAGGGUGGACGGCCACACUGGGACUGAGACACGGCCCAGACGCCUACGGGAGGCAGCAGUGGGGAAUAUUGCGCAAUGGACGAAAGUCUGACGCAGCGACGCCUCGUGAGGGACGAAGGUCUUCGGAUUGUAAACCUCUUUCAGCAGGGACGAAGCGAAAGUGACGGUACCUGCAGAAGAAGCACUGGCUAACUAUGUGCCAGCCGCCGCAGUAA
rnacentral:rRNA from 1 species